UGGGGAAUCUUGGACAAUGGGGGCGAACCCUGAUCCAGCCAUGCCGCGUGAGUGAUGAAGGCCUUAGGGUCGUAAAGCUCUUUCGCCUGUGAAGAUAAUGACGGUAGCAGGUAAAGAAACCCCGGCUAACUCCGUGCCAGCAGCCGCGGUAAUACGGAGGGGUUAGCGUUGUUCGGAAUUACUGGGCGUAAAGCGCACGUAGGCGGACUAGCAAGUUAGAGGUGAAAUCCCAGGGCUCAAGCCUUGGAACUGCCUUUAAAACUGCUAGUCUAGAGACCGGAAGAGGUUAGGGGAAUACCUAGUGUAGAGGUGAAAUUCGUAGAUAUUAGGUGGAACACCAGUGGCGAAGGCGCCUAACUGGUCCGGUACUGACGCUGAGGAACGAAAGCGUGGGGAG
rnacentral:rRNA from 1 species